GACGUAGGGCGCGAGCGUUGUCCGGAUUUAUUGGGCGUAAAGAGCUCGUAGGCGGCUUGUCGCGUCGACCGUGAAAACUUGGGGCUCAACCCCAAGCCUGCGGUCGAUACGGGCAGGCUCGAGUUCGGUAGGGGAGACUGGAAUUCCUGGUGUAGCGGUGAAAUGCGCAGAUAUCAGGAAGAACACCCGUGGCUAAGGCGGCUCUCUGUACGGUACUGACGCUGAGACGCGAAAGCGUGGGGAGCGAACAGG
rnacentral:rRNA from 1 species